GAUGAACGCUGGCGGCGUGCUUAACACAUGCAAGUCGAACGGAAAGGCCACAGCUUGCUGUGGUACUCGAGUGGCGAACGGGUGAGUAACACGUGGGUGAUCUGCCCUGUACUUCGGGAUAAGCUUGGGAAACUGGGUCUAAUACCGGAUAGGAAUCACAUGUGGGUGUGUGGUUGGAAAGCUUUUGCGGUAUGGGAUGAGCUCGCGGCCUAUCAGCUUGUUGGUGGGGUAAUGGCCUACCAAGGCGUCGACGGGUAGCCGGCCUGAGAGGGUGUACGGCCACAUUGGGACUGAGAUACGGCCCAGACUCCUACGGGAGGCAGCAGUGGGGAAUACUGCACAAUGGGCGCAAGCCUGAUGCAGCGACGCCGCGUGGGGGAUGACGGCCUUCGGGUUGUAAACUCCUUUCGUCAGGGACGAAGCGAAAGUGACGGUACCUGGAUAAGAAGCACCGGCUAACUACGUG
rnacentral:rRNA from 1 species